rnacentral:rRNA from 1 species
AUGCUCAACUACGGCCGCAGCUUGAUCGAGCCCGACUUCCACUGGUGGGAUCGCAUCGACAAGGAUAUUUGGAUAGGAGCAGUUCCCUUUCCCAGUCACGUGCCACGGUUGAAGAAACUAGGAAUAACUGGGGUUGUCGCAUUGACCGAGCGGUUCGAAACUCUGGUUUCAAAAUUUGCAUAUGAGCUUCAUGGAAUGGAUCACCUCGAGAUUCCCACUACAGAUUACCUCUAUGCUCCCUCAAAAGAAAAUAUCGACAAAGCAUUGGAUUUUAUCCACAAAAAUGCAACAGAAGGUGGUAGCACUUUGGUCCACUGCAAGGCAGGAAGGGCACGAAGCGCUACCAUAGUUCUAUGCUGUAUUUGA